CCAUUUAUAGAGGAGGGACGGGCGAUAUGUGCACAUAAAAUUUCAUUUUCAAAUUCUAAUUCUCUUUCAAAUUUUAAUUUUAAGUCCUGUUACCUAAUAAAUUAAUUUCUUUUUCCAUUUUACAUUUAUUGUGUCCCAUUAUUACCUAAAACAUUCUCUUUACCUUGAUUUGUCUUAUUAUUCCUUUUCAUUUUUAGAACGAUUUUACAUUUUUAUUCUUAUUCUUUAGACAAUGAUAUAAAAAAUUAUUUCUUUUAGUUAAUUUGAUUGUGGGUUAUCUAUUAUAUUACAGGACCCCCUAAUUCGCUUUUACACCGCCAUAUUGAAGCAUUUUCCCUUUAUUUAGGUACUGUUUUUAUUUUAUUAAAA
rnacentral:rRNA from 1 species